rnacentral:rRNA from 1 species
CACGUAGGGGGCAAGCGUUGUCCGGAUUCAUUGGGCGUAAAGAGCUCGUAGGCGGCUCAGUAAGUCGGGUGUGAAACCCUCAGGCUCAACCUGGGGACGCCACUCGAUACUGCCGGGCUAGAGUCCGGAAGAGGCGAGUGGAAUUCCUGGUGUAGCGGUGGAAUGCGCAGAUAUCAGGAGGAACACCAACGGCGAAGGCAGCUCGCUGGGACGGUACUGACACUGAGGCGCGAAAGCGUGGGGAGCGAACAGG